rnacentral:rRNA from 1 species
AGAGUUUGAUCUGGCUCAGGAUGAACGCUAGCGGCAGGCUUAACACAUGCAAGUCGAGGGGCAGCGAGGGAGUGGCAACACUUCUGUCGGCGACCGGCGCACGGGUGAGUAACGCGUAUGCAACCUACCCUUCACAGGGGGAUAACCGGGAGAAAUUCCGACUAAUACCGCAUACGUCCUCCGGGGGCAUCCCCGGGGGAUGAAAGAGUUAUCGGUGAAGGAUGGGCAUGCGUGAUAUUAGGUAGUUGGCGGGGCAACGGCCCACCAAGCCCACGAUAUCUAGGGGUUCUGAGAGGAAGGUCCCCCACAUUGGUACUGAGACACGGACCAAACUCCUACGGGAGGCAGCA